rnacentral:ncRNA from 1 species
AACAGGGGCGCCGAAAGGCUGAGACGGUAAAAACCGGACCCUCAAACCUGAUACGGGUAAUGCCGGCGUAGGGAGUUA